rnacentral:lncRNA from 12 species
AACACAUGGACAAUGCAUUCAGUUGUGCAGGAUGGCUUGAAAUUCAUUACAUCUAGAAGAAACUCUGAGCAAGGUGGCAUCAACAAAAUUAAAUCAUCUGCUUGGAAGCCAGGGACCAGCUUAUUAGAUAAUGGACACUAACCUGUGCACAAUGGAUUGAGAGUCAAUUUAUAUUGUCAAGUGGCCAAGGAAUAUAUUAUUUGGGGAGAAUUUUUAAGAAUAUAUUUUUAAAAAUAUCUGUCUUGACUCACCUUCCCAUCUUCUUGAGGAGGAGAGCUAAUCAAGAAAGAACCAAGAAGGAUCUACCUGGUGGCAGAUUCUGGAAGAGCUGCAGCAGAGAGGCUGGGCUGCCUUUGGGCCAGCAGGUAAGUGCGGGGACAGCUCCUGCCUGUAGCCUCUGGGCUGUGUGAUUUCCCAAGGAACUUUGUGACACUC